GUAAUAUGCAAGGGUAUGAGUCAGUAAUAACCAAUUACCUUGUUUAUAGGAAGUUAUCCUGAAGUGCCCUUGAACUGCUGUAGCAACAAUAAAUGUGGAGCAUCUUAACUCUUUUUUUGGCUUCAUUAUGUGUAAAAAAUUAAGGUGUUAAACUGGACUCAUAAAUGGUGGGAUCUCCUCUCUCCUGCCCUGCUCUGUGGGAAUUAUGGCUUUGGUGUUCUUGUCAAGAGGAUUGGGUAUUGAGUUUGAUUUGAAAAUAGAUAUAGCUUAAUUAGAUAUAGUUUGAUUACUGAUGGACGAAGGCAUGGUGGGACAGUGAAGAAGCACAGCUUCCAGGUGCUCCUUGUCAGCUGUUGAGUAACAGGUACCAGCACUGGGUGACAAAGCUUUCCUUUCACAGAUGUACGUUGAGGCUGAAGGUGCUUUGUGGUUGGGAUAGUUACCUUAACUCUGCUUAUUUCUUUUUUAAAGUUUUUCACAGAUCUGGAUAAGAAUUAAGACUUGGCUUUGAAGUGCUUGAGCAACUUGCUACUGCCCAAGUCAUGACGCUCCCAUUUCGAAAGGACUUGGACAAGUACAAAGAUCUGGAUGAGGAUGAAAUUCUUGGCAAACUUUCGGAAGAAGAGCUGAAACAACUGGAAACUGUUUUGGAUGAUCUUGACCCCGAGAACGCGCUGCUGCCCGCAGGCUUCCGGCAGAAGGACCAGACUGCCAAGAAAGCCUCGGCUCCCUUCGACAGGGAGCGGCUCCUGGCAUACCUGGAGAAGCAGGCGCUGGAAUACAAGGACAGGGAGGACUAUGUGCCUUUCACAAGGGAAAAGAAAGGGAAAAUAUUUAUCCCCAAGCAAAAGCCUGUACAGUCUUUCACAGAAGAAAAAUUCUCUCUUGAUCCAGAACUGGAGGAAGCCCUGACCAGUGCCACAGACACAGAACUGGGUGACCUCGCAGCAAUACUGGGAAUGUCCAACUUGAUAACAAACAAUCAGUUCUGUGAUGUAGUAGGAAGCACUAAUGGGAUUGACAAAGACAGCUUCUCAAAUAUAGUAAAAGGUGAAAAAAUGUUGCCUGUUUUUGAUGAACCACCAAAUCCUACAAAUGUGGAGGAGACACUGCAAAGGAUUAAAGAUAACGAUUCUCGUCUUGUUGAAGUUAAUCUAAAUAACAUUAAGAACAUACCAAUUCCAACACUGAAAGAAUUUGCAAAAGCCUUAGAAACCAACACACAUGUGAAGAAUUUCAGCCUGGCAGCCACUCGAAGCAAUGAUCCUGUUGCUGUUGCUCUUGCAGAUAUGCUGAGACGAAACACAAAAUUAAAAAGUUUGAACAUAGAAUCAAACUUCAUCACUGGAGUUGGAAUUCUGGCAUUGGUUGAUGCACUGAAAGACAAUGAAACGUUGACAGAGAUCAAAAUUGAUAAUCAGAGGCAGCAGUUGGGCACAGCUGCAGAAGUAGAAAUUGCCAAGAUGCUUGAAGAAAACAACAAGAUCCUCAAGUUUGGAUACCAUUUCACACAACAGGGACCUCGAGCCAGGGCAGCUGCAGCUAUCACAAAAAACAAUGAUUUGGUCUGGAGUAUGCGAGUAAAAGUUUCUGCAAAUAUCUUUUCAUCUGUCCUGCCCUGAAGCUACAGAGACGGUUACUCUGAGUACCUACUUGGGUAUUGAGUACUGAAACCAACAUGUUUGAAGUCUCUAAUCUCUCUCUUUGUAUGUUCCUUCUAUAAAAAAGUCUACAUCUUUUUCUUUUUCCUUGCUAACACUGUGUUGUGCCAUUUCUCUGUUCUUUGUGUACUUUUAACUGCAUGAUUGGAGAAGUCUAGGGCUGGAAAUUCUUUUCAUCUGUUCUUGCAGUUUGAUGAAAGCAGUUCGGAAGAGAAGAGUUGAAGGGGACAAUUAGCAAAGCUGCUGCCAGAAUUGUGGAGUCAGCACGGGCAGCGCCGUGGGCUUCAGCAGCCUUGGACUACACUGACCUGGUUAGAAGGGAAAAGACUGGAAACCCCCUUCCUUUUAAAGCAAGGAAUAGAAUCACCUGCUGGUAUGCAGCACGGUUUUGGGAUGGAUGGAGACACAGCAACUGUGCCAGUCUCUGUACCAUAGGUUUUGAUAGGGUUUUUCUAAGAAAUUUUUUUUGUAUUUCAAGACUUUGGCUGUGCUUUCUACUAAAAAUGUAAUUGCAAAUCAAUGGUAUAAUUGUAUGUAGUCAAAGAAUGGGACUUUUAAAAUGGUUGGGCAGAUACUGACCCAGCUGAAAUGUUUGUAAGAAAAUCUGGGGGUGUGUAUUUACCAGGAGGGGUGUGUUGUGUAUAUUCCUGACAACAAUGCUCUAGAGAAAAGGGAUUCUUCACCCAGCAGCUGCACUCAUGUUGAGCUGUUCAGCUUUGUUCAUCUGCACUGAAGAGAAAUCUUUUACAGCAAUGUUAUUUGUAAUUCUACUAGUUUAUUUUUUUAUUUGUUCUUGAUACUGUAAUCAAGUUCAAAGACAUCCUUUCAAGCCAAACAAAAAUACAUUGGCUAAGGACUUGUCCCAAGGAAUUAGAGGGACUAAUACAAAAAUGGAAGCCUUAGAAAAUAAGGAAAAAAUUCUGGAGUCUUGCAAAACGACAGUUUUUCUGUUACAUCUAAAUCCUUAAAGUCUUUUUCUAAAGGUCCCAUAACUGUAUCUUGCUCUGUAUCUAAACUGAAUACAUUUUUAGACUGAUUUCAUGUGUUCAUCAGCAUUAUUUAGUUUAUAUUCUUUGUUUAAAAAUUGUUAUCUACAUUCAUAAGUAUCAAUUUCUCUAGAAGUAAUGGACAUUCAUAUUUAAAAUUCUGCAUAACUAUAAGGAAAAGCAGCCUUAACUGUAAGACCACUGGCCUAAGUUACAUUACAUUAAGCUAUUUGUACUUCAUACAAAUCCAACAGUUUUCAAUAAUGAAGUAACACUUUUAAGAAAGGGUUUUUCCAUUCUGUAUCUGUCUUGAUGUUGAAACACUACCUAAGACAUGCAAAACCAAACCAAUAUGUAGUGUCAAGUCUCUAGGGCGUAGUCAUUGUUGAAGUGUUUAAAGUUCUGUAAGCAAACUAAUAAGGCAACAAGAAUCACUUCAACUUCUGUACAUAAUCACAGUACACUUGAAAUAUGCAAAUCUAGAAACUUUUGGGUGUAGGUCUGUUUGGACUGUCUUGUACUAGUUUGCUUUGAGUUCGCAAAAAUGUUCUACAGGACUGCUUGGCUGUAUUUAUAGCAACAGAGAAUUCAACUGACAACUGUUUUCAUCCAAAGGUCAUAAUGUGGUGAGCAUUUAUGUGUAGAAAACAUAUUGGACUGAGAAUUUUGCAUCAGGUUGUAUAUACUGUAAAAACAGAGCAAGUCUCUGACACUGUGCCCACACUGUAAUUUGCUGCAAGUCUUGGUUUGGAUCUUUAAAGACAGACUUUAUUCUGGAGGUGUUUUACUGCAACUGUACAGAGAAUUUUGAACUAUAGUGCCUUUAGUGAGGUUGUAUAUAACUGGUUUAUACUCAUGGAAGAACUUUUUUUCCCUCUACUUUUAGAUCAGUGUUUUAUUAAAAUUACAAAUAAAUAUGUGCUCUGAAAACCAAGUUGGAAUCAGUUCAGUUAAAACCAAAGACUACACUUACUGUAACCUCACAACAACACGUGAAGUGUUCUGAUGAGUAACAAAAAGGGCUUCUUUUCGUUUGGGGUUUUGUAAAUUUUCAGGAACCUUUUAGAUUUUGAAAUAAACUUUGAAAUAGUUCUAAUACAAUAUGCAUACAAUCAGAAGUUAAGUGUAUUUUUACAGACAGACAGUGCUGUACAAAGAUGGCCAAAGCAUGCCAUGUGCUGAGUUGCCUAAAGCUGCACUUUACUUUUGAUUUGCUAGCACCAUUAUCAUUUUGUGUCAAAAACCAGGCUGUAAUGUCUUCCUUCCUUUGUUGAAGGGCUGCAUAUUCACAGAAUCUGUUCAUUUAUUGGGAUUCUAUGAUGACUUGUUAUAUCACUACCUAAAAAGAUUAGGCAGUUAUCUCCUACUUGAAAAUGAAGGAGAAAACUGAAAGUCUGGAUUAUGGAAAUAAUAGUCCAAAUCCCUUUCCUGCUUUUACUUAAUCAAGUUUGGCUGUUUUAAUUAUUAUAUUCCAAUCAAAGGCAGAGCCAUUUAAGUUUCAGCUCUCAGCUGUCCUGUCACAAAUGAUAGUUAAAUGGUUUAACUCUGUAGACAACAGCUAAAAAUUUGACUGCUUGUGACUUUCAGGACAGAUACCUGACAGGCUGGGCAUGGAAAACAAAUUUUUUCAAUCAGAAGGGUCUAAUCAUCCACAUUGUUGCAAGACCUUUAGUGUGGUGCAUGGAACAGUUAACAGCAAUCACUUUUGUGCCUGCAGUGUGUAUCCUUUUUGGAAUAAAUGAAGAAAUUCAGUCUGCAGCCGGGAAUCUUCAACAGUCUCAACAAACAAAGUGAGCACUGAUGUAAUGCCAUCGAGUGAGAUCCUGUGUAUGAUUUCACUGAUUGUGAGUGCAGGGGUGGUAUUACUGUGAUAGCCAGUUACCAUAAACACAAGGGCUUUUUCUGAAAGAGAUACUGUUUUCUGUUUUCUUACUGAUUGUUUUUCCUGCUUAAUGCAGAAAUCAAAUGACUGCAUAUGUUGAUUCUGUUGGUUCCAAGCUAAGCAUGGAAACAUAAUAUUUCAGAGCAAUUACCUAUUUACUCUUGUAUUUUAAAGAAAUAGCCUCACUCUCUCUGCAACUUGAGUAAUCCUGCGUUUGUAAGCUACAAACGAGCAAGUGUUCGAGUUAGAUUUCCAUUGGGGAAGCAGGUAUUGAGUAUUUUAGCAUAUCAGCACUAUAUGCUGUCAGAUUGUAAAACAGUUACUAAUCUUUGGAUGAUUAAAGUACUGUAUUCUUGUUGUGGC